CUCGUUCUGUGCUCGACGUUCGUGAUUUUCCCGCUCAGUCUCGAUCUGUAGUAGCAUAAAACGGAAAAAUAAUUGGUUCUAUCAAUUUUAUUGAGCUUCUACCUUCGUUCAUCGUAUUUCAACGUGUUUUUACAAAUGCCAGAGGAACUAACCAUCGGACACGUCAGCCCUUGUUGAUGGAAGCACCCGGUUCCGCUGCCUCGAAUUUCCCAUUGAAUACGUCCGCACGUGUUUGAUAUAAAUUAGGGUGUUAGCCGAUGCUGCUAACGAAAGAUCGCCCGAAGGCGGUUUCAAUCACGAGAAGCUUCGUCUCCGAUUUCGUCUCUGUGACCUGCUUGAACACGGAAUUCACAAAGUGACAUUCUGCGAAGACCUCCCGGAACGUUUCCAAAUCGUCAACACGAGAUCACUGUUUGCCGAGUGCGAAUAUUUCCUCGAAGUUUUUCAUUCCGAGCCAUCGGACCGUGAUUUUGCACGCCGACAUGUGGACACAGAAGACAAACAAUGAAGUUGAACAGCGAGCGAAAGUUUUCGUCCAUAGUCUCAAUCGCGGUAUUCCCCACCGGAGGGCACGGUAGCCCACCUACACAUUUCGAAUGACGAAAAAAUUCUUGUUUGCGUCUCGUUUUAUAGUUCAAUUACACCCGCGCACGGCAAUACACGAGAAAAACCCUCGAGCAACGAGACGUCAAUUGAGCGUAAGCGUGAAAACGUGCACACAGCCAUCGGCCUAUUUAAAAGAAGAAACUAAAAUUACACCAUUCAUUGAACGCUUCGUCGUACCUCUCUCUCGCUCUCGCACUUCGCCGAGGUGAGCCUCGCGGUUCAAAAAAACUCCACCGACUCGUACGAGCAGCCAAUUACUGUAUCACUCUCCUACGAUAUGUUUCGAUUCAUGAAUGCCCGCUCGAAUAUCGCCUAAUUGGGUUAAAUUUAAUUUGCAACUGCUCGUGAAUCGAGCAUGCAUAAUUAUAUCAAUGCGGUUCAACGUAUGCGUGCGAAAGAAAUCAUUGACUAAAUGCUAACGAAGCAUCAAUUAUUUUACGCAAAUCCAGCACAAUGUUCAUGAAUUUCAUCUCUAUUUAUGGCUUCUAAUCAACGACUGAAACACUUCAAUAGUAAUGAGCUAUUAAAUUAUUUAGCAAUGUAAAAUUAAGAGGACAAGCUCGUAAUAGCGAAUUCAACCAAUUUUUAUCUAGCUUUAACGAUAGAUUUAUAUAGAGGUGGUAAAAUCGAAGAUUGAACUAAAAUUAGUGACGUUUCGGGCCUCGCUGUCCCGAAAAAUGAAAGCUGGAAUCGAUCAUGUUAAAAUAUUUCAAUAUUUUUUUGCGCGUAUUCACCGAAAUUUUUUGCUCAGCUAACGAAACUGCGGCACAACGAAGCUUCCUGUUCACAUACUGAAACGAAUUUUUAUGAGAUAGAUAACGCUGGUGCUUGGACAGAGUAUUUGCUUGAAUGUUUAACAAUUAAAUAUCUAGAGCUCAACUAUAAAUUUCGUGGCCAGUGUAGAAACGAAAGAUUUCCAAUUACCUUAGUCCGAUAGCUUCGCUCAGUGCACUUUCGAUGUAGCAGCUCGUAAAACUAGCCGAUUGUUUGACACUAAAAUGUGACAAUGAAUUGCAUCUGAUUAACGCGCUGCAUCGAUCCGCUCCAUUGUUCUUUCGACGCAAUCGUGCAUCCGACUGACUCGCGGAUUUUUUCUCAUUUGUUUCGAUUGCUGCGCGUCGCCAGACUGAUAACGCAAUAGAUCAUAACCGCCAGCAAUAUUGCGUCGAAAAUUUUUCACCAGUAAUAAUGUCGAAGGUUAGAUGAAAAAAUGUUUGCUCGAACGAUCGCACAUAAAUGUGGAAGUAGGACAAUUUUACGGUGCAUUCUUGUCCGAGUGUGGUCGAGUCAGUAAACAAUUAAAUAUUUUGCGAGCUGAGCUAAAUCCGACAGAACGUUUGAGCUUCCUCGUCUGACAGAGUUUCACGAAUGCAACAUCGAUCGUUCGGACUUUCUUAAAUCUGGCAAAAAUGUUAAUGCGCUAUUUUUUCAUCCACCAAAUUCGAGGCACUGCUUCUCGUGGUCUGCUUGUACGAAAAAUUUUUAAAUUCUUCCAACCCCAGUUUCGCGACUGGAUUCCUUCUUUUCGUAAUAUUUGUUGCAAUGAAAACUUAGGGGUUUACGCAGGAAUCCGAAACAAAUGGUUUCGAAGGUAGAAAAACAAUUUUGUCUUUUCAUUUAAGAAAGAUUUCACCUCAGUGCUAUUUGUAGUCUUUGAACGUGUCGCUUCGUUUGACCAAUUGUAUCGGUAUCCUUCGUUCGUUUCGUCGCGUUGUGAAGAUAAGGUAUGAAGGCUUCUCGCAUCUUUGUCGGAUGAGCACGAACGCCCCGAUAAAGAAGAGUGAGAGACGGUGAAACGAGGCAGAAGGUGCACACGAUAGAAGGUACGACAAGCUGUGUCGAGCCAAAUGUUCAAGGACUCGAAUAAGAGUCUCGAGCGAGUGUAAUGGCAUUGCGAAAAUGUAUUUGUUUUUUUUUUUCUUCAUCUCUUUAGACACGAAAUCUGCAAUUUAAGAGCGUGCUCGGAGUGAGCGCAAGGAAAUAAUAGACUACGCUCUUACCGAGAACUUUGCAGGCGAAGAAGUAAAAUAAAAGAAAAGGAAGAAUAUUUAUAAUCGAUGAGGAAGAAUCACGUGCGAUGUAAACACACAUUGUUGCUUCACGCUCUGUUCUAUGCAGCGGUACAAAAUCAUCGAUCAUUCAUCGAAGGAAAAACUUGUGGACUUGGUAGAAUUCGACGAAAUAUAAAAUUGGGACGAAAGGCAACGAUCUUAUAAAACUCUCCAAAGCGUUUUCUUUACCUACGAUUUCAUGGUCAUGGCUAAUUGAACGUCAACCGAAUCUUCUGAGCUACGAAUACGAACAAUAUCGCGAUGAUUAAUCGUCCUGCUCGUGUGAAAAAUAGAAAAAAGUAAUACACCAAAGUGGAUCACUUAUCGAUGUUUUUCAUCGAACUUGUGCCAAAAAUGGACGUACUCACCGUUAGUAGGAUCUCAAAAAAAGACUAUUUUCAAUCGUCUGUUCGAUAUCGAAAAUAAUUGCCCUUCUGAUGAGGUGAGAAUGAUUCUCUCAGUAUUUAAUGUUCAUCUCAAAAUGUUAAUAAAUCGAGCGUCGCUGCCACGAAGAGGCGACCACACCUAUCAAUA